rnacentral:rRNA from 1 species
CUGAGUUUACGCUCUAUAACCCUUUGUGAACAUACCUAUAACUGUUGCUUCGGCGGGUAGGGUCUCCGUGACCCUCCCGGCCUCCCGCCCCCGGGCGGGUCGGCGCCCGCCGGAGGAUAACCAAACUCUGAUUUAACGACGUUUCUUCUGAGUGGUACAAGCAAAUAAUCAAAACUUUUAACAACGGAUCUCUUGGUUCUGGCAUCGAUGAAGAACGCAGCGAAAUGCGAUAAGUAAUGUGAAUUGCAGAAUUCAGUGAAUCAUCGAAUCUUUGAACGCACAUUGCGCCCGCCAGCAUUCUGGCGGGCAUGCCUGUUCGAGCGUCAUUUCAACCCUCAAGCUCUGCUUGGUGUUGGGGCCCUACAGCUGAUGUAGGCCCUCAAAGGUAGUGGCGGACCCUCCCGGAGCCUCCUUUGCGUAGUAACUUUACGUCUCGCACUGGGAUCCGGAGGGACUCUUGCCGUAAAACCCCCAAUUUUCCAAAGGUUGACCUCGGAUCAGGUAGGAAUACCCGCUGAACUUAAGCAUAUCAAUAAGCGGAGGAGGUC